AGAGUUUGAUCAUGGCUCAGGACGAACGCUGGCGGCAUGCCUAAUACAUGCAAGUCGAGCGAACAGAUGAAGUGCUUGCACUUCUGACGUUAGCGGCGAACGGGUGAGUAACACGUAAGGAAUCUACCUAUAAGCGGGGGAUAACAUUCGGAAACGGGUGCUAAUACCGCAUAAUAUCUUCUUCCGCAUGGAAGAAGAUUGAAAGACGGCUCUGCUGUCACUUAUAGAUGACCUUGCGGUGCAUUAGUUAGUUGGUGGGGUAACGGCCUACCAAGACGAUGAUGCAUAGCCGACCUGAGAGGGUGAUCGGCCACAUGGGACUGAGACACGGCCCAAACUCCUACGGGAGGCAGCAGUAGGGAAUCUUCCGCAAUGGGCGAAAGCCUGACGGAGCAAUGCCGCGUGAGUGAAGAAGGCCUUCGGGUCGUAAAACUCUGUUAUAAGAGAAGAACAAAUUGUAGAGUAACUGCUACAGUCUUGACGGUAUCUUAUCAGAAAGCCACGGCUAACUACGUGCCAGCAGCCGCGGUAAUACGUAGGUGGCAAGCGUUGUCCGGAUUUAUUGGGCGUAAAGGGAGCGCAGGUGGUUUCUUAAGUCUGAUGUGAAAGCCCACGGCUUAACCGUGGAGGGUCAUUGGAAACUGGGGAACUUGAGUACAGAAGAGGAAUGUGGAACUCCAUGUGUAGCGGUGGAAUGCGUAGAUAUAUGGAAGAACACCAGUGGCGAAGGCGACAUUCUGGUCUGUUACUGACACUGAGGCUCGAAAGCGUGGGGAGCAAACAGGAUUAGAUACCCUGGUAGUCC
rnacentral:rRNA from 1 species